UGGCUCAUUAAAUCAGUUAUGGUUUAUUUGAUGGUACCGUACUACUUGGAUAACCGUAGUAAUUCUAGAGCUAAUACAUGCAGGAAGACCCGACUUCGGAAGGGUUGUAUUUAUUAGAUAAGAAACCAAUCCAGCUUGCUGGUUGCGUGCCGAGUCACAAUAACUGCUCGAAUCGCAUGACUUUACGUCGGCCAUGGUUCAUUCAAAUUUCUGCCCUAUCAGCUUUCGAUGGUAGGAUCGAGGCCUACCAUGGCGUUUACGGGUAACGGAGAAUUAGGGUUCGAUUCCGGAGAGGGAGCCUGAGAAAUGGCUACCACAUCCAAGGAAGGCAGCAGGCGCGUAAAUUGCCCGAAUCCUGACACAGGGAGGUAGUGACAAGAAAUAACGAUACAGGGCUACAUCUAGUCUUGUAAUUGGAAUGAGUACAAUUUACAUCUCUUAACGAUGAUCAAUUGGAGGGCAAGUCUGGUGCCAGCAGCCGCGGUAAUUCCAGCUCCAAUAGCGUAUAUUAAAGUUGUUGCAGUUAGAACGCUCGUAGUCCGAUUUCGGGGCGUUCCGACCGGUCUGCCGAUGGGUAUGCAUGGCCGAGUGUCCUUUUUGCCGGAGACCGUGCCUACUCUUAACUGAGCGGGGCCGGGAGACGGCACUUUUACUUUGAAAAAAUCAGAGUGUUUCAAGCAGG
rnacentral:rRNA from 1 species